rnacentral:rRNA from 1 species
AGCGAACGCUGGCGGCAGGCCUAACACAUGCAAGUCGAACGAACCUUUCGGGGUUAGUGGCGGACGGGUGAGUAACACGUGGGAACGUGCCUUUAGGUUCGGAAUAACUCAGGGAAACUUGUGCUAAUACCGAAUGUGCCCUUCGGGGGAAAGAUUUAUCGCCUUUAGAGCGGCCCGCGUCUGAUUAGCUAGUUGGUUGAGGUAAUGGCUCACCAAGGCGACGAUCAGUAGCUGGUCUGAGAGGAUGAUCAGCCACAUUGGGACUGAGACACGGCCCAAACACCUACGGGAGGCAGCAGUGGGGAAUCUUGAGCAAUGGGCGAAAGACUGACGCAGCCAUGCCGCGUGAAUGAUGAAGGUCUUAGGAUUGUAAAAUUCUUUCACCGGGGACGAUAAUGACGGUACCCGGAGAAGAAGCCCCGGCUAACUUCGUG